rnacentral:rRNA from 2 species
GAAACUUGAGAGGCUGAAUCCGGCCCAUGACUCGAGAAACCGCCCAAGCUCCUUUACCGGGAGGCAGCAGUAGGGAUCUUCCACAAAUGGAAGCCAGUCUGAUGAGCAACGCCCGCGUGAGUGAGAAAGGCUUCCGGUCGUAAAACUCUGUUGUUGAGAAGAAUAGUCGGCAGAAGUGAACUGUUGUCGGCCGUGACGGUAUCCUAACAGAAAAACACGGCUAACUACGUGUCCAGCAGCCGCGGUAAUACGUAGGUGGCAAGCGUUAUCCGGAUUUAUUGGGCGUAAAGCGAGCGCAGGCGGUUUUUUUAAGUCUGAUGUGAAAGCCCUCGGCUUAACCGAGGAAGUGCAUCUGAAACUGGGAAACUUGAGUGCAGAAGAGGACAGUGGAACUCCAUGUGUAGCGGUGAAAUGCGUAGAUAUAUGGAAGAACACCAGUGGCGAAGGCGGCUGUCUGGUCUGUAACUGACGCUGAGGCUCGAAAGCAUGGGUAGCGAACAGGAUUAGAUACCCUGGUAGUCCAUGCCGUAAACGAUGAAUGCUAGGUGUUGGAGGGUUUCCGCCCCUCAGUGCCGCAGCUAACGCAUUAAGCAUUCCGCCUGGGGAGUACGACCGCAAGGUUGAAACUCAAAGGAAUUGACGGGGGGCCGCACAAGCGGUGGAGCAUGUGGUUUAAUUUGAAGCAACGCGAAGAACCUUUCCAGGUCUUGACAUCUUUUGAUCCCCCGAGAGAUCAGGUUUCUCCUUUUGGGGCAAAAUAACAGGUGGUGCAUGGUGGUCGUCAGCUCGUGUCGUGAGAUGUUGGGUUAAGUCCCGCAACGAGCGCAACCCCUAUGACUAGUUGCCAGCAUUUAGUUGGGCACUCUAGUAAGACUGCCGGUGACAAACCGGAGGAAGGUGGGGAGGACGUCAAAUCAUCAUGCCCCCUAUGACCUGGGGUACACACGUGCUACAAUAGAUGGUACAACGAGUGGCGAGACCGCGAGGUCAAGAUAAUCUCUUAAAACCAUUUUCAGUUCUGACUGUAGGCGGCAACUCUCCUACACGAAGUCGGAAUAGCUAGUAAUAGCGGAUCAGCACGCCGCGGUGAAUACGUUCCCCGGCCUCGUACACACCCCCCCUCACACCACGAGAGUUUGUAACACCCGCAGCCGGUGUGGUAACCCCUUUAGGGAGCGAGCCGUCUAAGGUGACACGUGG